rnacentral:pre_miRNA from 1 species
GAUGUACUCCCUCCGUCCGGAAAUACUUGUCCUAAAAAUGAAUAAAAUGGAUGUAUCUAUAAUUAAAAUAAGUCUAGAUACAUUCAUCUCUAGGACAAGUAUUUCCGGAUGGAGGAAGUAUUAC